rnacentral:rRNA from 1 species
AGUGAACGCUGGCGGUAUGCCUAACACAUGCAAGUCGAACGGCAGCACAGUAAGAGCUUGCUCUUACGGGUGGCGAGUGUCGGACGGGUGAGUAAUACAUCGGAAUCUACUUUUUCGUGGGGGAUAACGUAGGGAAACUUACGCUAAUACCGCAUACGACCUACGGGUGAAAGCAGGGGAUCUUCGGACCUUGCGCGAUUGAAUGAGCCGAUGUCGGAUUAGCUAGUUGGCGGGGUAAAGGCCCACCAAGGCGACGAUCCGUAGCUGGUAUGAGAGGAUGAUAAGACACACUGGAACUGAGACAGGGUCCAGACACCUACGGGAGGCAGCAGUGGGGAAUAUUGGGCAAUGGGGGCAAGCCUGAUCCAGCAAUACCGCGUGGGUGAAGAAGGACUUCGGGUUGUAAAGCCAUUUUGUUGGGAAAGAAAAGAAGCAGGUUAACACGCCGCGGUACUGACGGUACCGAAAGAAUAAGCACCGGCUAACUUCGUG